GUAGGGAAUAUUGGGCAAUGGACGAAAGUCUGACCCAGCCAUGCCGCGUGCAGGAUGACUGUCCUAUGGAUUGUAAACUGCUUUUAUAUGGGAAGAAACCCCUGGAUGCGUCCGGGGCUGACGGUACCAUUUGAAUAAGGAUCGGCUAACUUCGUGCCAGCAGCCGCGGUAAGACGAAGGAUUCAAGCGUUGUCCGGAUUUACUGGGUUUAAAGGGUGCGUAGGCGGAACUUUAAGUCAGUGGUGAAAGCUCUCGGCUCAACCGAGAAAUUGCCAUUGAAACUGAUUUUCUUGAAUACAGUGGAGGUAGAUGGAAUAUAACAUGUAGCGGUGAAAUGCUUAGAUAUGUUAUAGAACACCGAUUGCGAAGGCAGUCUGCUACACUGUCAUUGACGCUGAGGCACGAAAGCGUGGGGAGCGAACAGGAUUAGAUACCCUUGUAGUCC
rnacentral:rRNA from 1 species